rnacentral:rRNA from 1 species
CCUACGGGAGGCAGCAGUAGGGAAUCUUCCACAAUGGGCGAAAGCCUGAUGGAGCAACGCCGCGUGGGUGAAGAAGGUCUUCGGAUCGUAAAACCCUGUUGUUAGAGAAGAAAGUGCGUGAGAGUAACUGUUCACGUUUCGACGGUAUCUAACCAGAAAGCCACGGCUAACUACGGGCCAGCAGCCGCGGUAAUACGUAGGUGGCAAGCGUUAUCCGGAUUUAUUGGGCGUAAAGGGAACGAAGGCGGUCUUUUAAGUCUGAUGUUAAAGCCUUCGGCUUAACCGGAGUAGUGCAUUGGAAACUGGGAGACUUGAGUGCAGAAGAGGAGAGUGGAACUCCAUGUGUAGCGGUGAAAUGCGUAGAUAUAUGGAAGAACACCAGUGGCGAAAGCGGCUCUCUGGUCUGUAACUGACGCUGAGGUUCGAAAGCGUGGGUAGCAAACAGGAUUAGAUACCCGGGUAGUC